CGUGUAGGCGGCUUGGUAAGUCAGAUGUGAAAGCCCAGGGCUCAACCCUGGAAGUGCAUUUGAUACUGCCGAGCUUGAGUAUGGGAGAGGAAAGCGGAAUUCCCAGUGUAGAGGUGAAAUUCGUAGAUAUUGGGAGGAACACCCGUGGCGAAGGCGGCUCUCUGGACCAAUACUGACGCUGAGACGCGAAAGCGUGGGGAGCAAACAGGAUUAGAUACCCUGGUAGUCC
rnacentral:rRNA from 1 species